rnacentral:rRNA from 1 species
GAUUAACGCUGGCGGCGUGCCUAACACAUGCAAGUCGAACGAUGAAACUUAACUGUUUUCUUCGGAAUGAUUUUAAGUGGCUUAGUGGCGGCCGGGUGAGUAACGCGUUAGUAACCUGCCUUGGAUACGGGGAUAGCCUUUGGAUACGAAGAAUAAUACCCUAUGAUAUGAUACUAUCUCAUGAUAUUAUCUUCAAAGAUUUAUCGCUCUAAGAUGGACUUGCUUGUGAUUAGUUAGGUGGUGAGGUAACAGCUCACCAAGGCUGCGAUCAGUAGCUGGAUUGGGAGAGCGGACGGCCAUAUUGGGAGUGACACACGGCCCAGACUCCUACGGGAGGCAGCAGGGGGGAAUGAUGCACGAUGGGGGAAACCCUGAGGCAUCGACGCCGCGAGAUUUAGAUGUCCGGCGAGUUGUAAAAAGCUUGUGUAUGGGAAGAAAAUGACGGUACCAAACGAAUAAGGACCGGCUAACUACGUG